rnacentral:rRNA from 1 species
UACGAAGGGGACUAGCGUUGUUCGGAAUCACUGGGCGUAAAGCGCACGUAGGCGGAUGUGUCAGUCAGGGGUGAAAUCCCGGGGCUCAACCUCGGAACUGCCUUUGAUACAGCACGUCUCGAGUCCGGAAGAGGUGGGUGGAAUUCCUAGUGUAGAGGUGAAAUUCGUAGAUAUUAGGAAGAACACCGGUGGCGAAGGCGGCCCUCUGGGCCGGUACUGACGCUGAUGUGCGAAAGCGUGGGGAGCAAACAGG